rnacentral:rRNA from 1 species
UACAGGGGGGUGCAAACGUUGCUCGGAAUCAUUGGGCGUAAAGCGCACGUAGGCGGUUCGUUAUGUCGGAUGUGAAAGCCCUUGGCUUAACCGAGGAAGUGCAUCCGAAACUGGCGAGCUAGAGUACUAAAGAGGAUCGCGGAAUUCCCGGUGUAGAGGUGAAAUUCGUAGAUAUCGGGGAGGAACACCGGUGGCGAAGGCGGCGAUCUGGGUAGAUACUGACGCUGAGGUGCGAAAGCGUGGGGGAGCAAACAGG